AUGGCUGGAUUCGCUGAUGCACUGAGGCCGGAUAAGUUUACCGGUGUGCACUUUAAGAGGUGGCAGGUGAAGACCACGCUCUGGCUUACUGCUCUGAAAGUUUUCCACGCUAGUGUUGGUGCUCCAGAGGGAAUGACCGACGAAGAUCGGAGAAAAUUCCAGGAAGCCAAUACUAUGUUUGUGGGAUGCAUUCUGAGUGUUCUUGCUGACCGUCUGUGUGAUGUGUACAUGCACAUAAACGACGGAAAAAUUCUGAGGGAUGCACUGAAUGCAAAAUUCGGUGCAUCAGAUGCAGGCAGUGAACUGUACAUCAUGGAGAGUUUUCAUGACUACAAGAUAGUGAAUAACCGUUCUGUGGUUGAACAAGCUCAUGAGAUACAGUGCAUUGUGAAGGAACUUGAACUCCUUAAAUGUGUUCUACCCGACAAAUUCGUGGCUGGGUGCAUGAUUGCAAAUUUGCCUCCUUCAUGGAGGAAUUUCGCCACAACUCUGAAGCAUAAGAGACAGGAGAUAUCAGUUGAAAAUCUGAUUGCAUCUCUUGAUGUUGAAGAAAAAGCUCGGGCUAAAGAUACCACUGAAAAAGGAGGUGAGGUUCAGCCUACUGCUAACAUGGUGCAGAGGUACCCACAGAACAAGAACAAAGGGAAGAACAAACCUGUUGUCAACAAGCCUACCAAGACUACUACCUUCAAGAAGAAGAAGUUCAACAAGGCUGAGCUAGAGUGCUACGUCGCAAGGGAUUCUUCCGUCCUAAUGGGGAAUGGGUCACAUGCUUCUGUUCGUGGCAUUGGCACGGUGGAUCUGAAGUUUACUUCGGGAAAGAUCGUGCAACUAAGGAACGUGCAGCAUGUCCCUACUAUGAACAAGAAUCUAGUUAGCGGCUCCCUUCUAUGUCGAGAUGGAUUUAAGGUAGUUUUAGAGUCCAAUAAAGUAAUCGUGUCAAGAUUUGGACAAUUUAUAGGAAAAGGCUAUGAGUGCGGAGGCUUGUUCCGCUUUUCUCUUUCAGAUUUUUGCAAUAAGUCAAUAAACCAAAUUUGUGCUAGUGUUAAUGAUGAUGCAAGUAUUUGGCACUCUCGUUUAUGUCAUAUUAAUUUUGGUUUAAUGUCUCGGCUAUCCAGCAUGAGUUUAAUUCUGAACUUCACAGUUGCCAAAGGUUCUAAGUGCCAUAGUUGUGUGCAAUCUAAGCAACCUCGAAAGCCUCAUAAGGCUGCCGAGGAGAGAAACUUGGCGCCUCUAGAACUCAUACAUUCUGAUCUUUGUGAGAUGAUGGUGUGUUGA
rnacentral:rRNA from 1 species